UUAAGAAACCCUGGUGACGCGCCACCCAAAUCCUGCCAGAGAAAUUCGGUUCUUGUAGCCGGACAAUUUCUCAAUUAUCAAACCGUGCACAUCAUUUAUCAUCUGUAAUUACACUUUCAAUGCAUGAAGGCGUCGCNGUCCUUUCCAAUUCCUAAUUAGGAACGUUUCUCGAUGUUCACUUCAGGGACUAGCUUCCUUCUCCUCGUAUUCGUCUGCAAACCCUAGAUCACUCAAUUUCUCUACUGACGAAGAUGAUGUUGAUGUUGAAGUUGAAGAAGGCGGCAGCUCCGUUUAUCGACAUGCUCUCCGACAGCAGCGGCCAACCACCAUAAGAUGGCAACCUCAGCUGGAGAAUUCUGUCAGCUUUAUUGGAUGGGUUGAUCGGCCCCUGGAGGUUUACAAGACGAAAAACGACCACUUUGGGGCUUAUACCUUUAUCAACGUGAAAAACCCUGAUAAUUCAAAUCGCACGUUUAGGAUGCAAGUGGAGAUGUGGGAUGAUAUGGCAAAAAUGGGAAUCCAACAUCUUAAGCAAAAUGAUACUAUAUAUGUUUCGGGCCAUUUAGGUUCUUAUAAGAAGGCCGAUGGGAAUGGAAAUCACGUAUCAUGUUACAAGAUAAUUGUAAAAGACUUGUGCUAUGUUGCACAAUGUGAUCAAGGCCCAGUUUGCCAAAAACGUGAGGAAUCACAAUCAAAAGCCUUCCAAAAAUCAGCAGAAUCACAAUCAAAGCCCAGCGAAAGAACAAAGGAAUCAAAGUCAGGGAGAGGUGAACUUGGCUUGGAAAGUCGCAAAGACCUUCUGUACUUGUGGCAAUUGUUCUUUUGCAAGCCAUAUGAAUGGUGGGAUAAGAGGAA
rnacentral:misc_RNA from 1 species